rnacentral:rRNA from 1 species
GAAUAUUAGUCAAUGCUCGAAAGAGUGAACUAGCUAACUGAAAUCAAUUAAAAAUAAUUGAUAACAUAAGGGAAAAUAAUGAUAAUACCUUAUUAUAAGUGUCGUCCAAAACUGGUGCCAGAAGACUCGGUAAGGCCAGAGACACAAACGUUAAUCGUCUUAAUCAGGCGUAAAGGGUUUGUAGGCGGCUUUUAAAUUAAUUUAAUUUAAUUUAUUAAAAAUAAAUUAAAAAUAAAAGCUAGAAUCAAAUAUAGGAUAUGUUAAAGAAUGCUUAGAGUAGGUCUGAUAUCCUUAGAUACUAAGUAGAAUACUAAAGGCGAAAGCUUUUUUCCAAUAAUGAUUGACGCUCAGAAACGAAGGUGAGGAUAGGAAAUAGGAUUAGAUACCCAAAAUACCCCUCUCUGUCAACGAUGAAUGGUAAUUAUUAGUAAAAAUUAUUAAUAAUAAUGUUAACACGAUAACCAUUCCGCCUUGUGAGUACAAUUGCAAAGUUGAAAACAAAAAAAUUAGUCGGUUUCGGAGCAAACGAAGUGAAGCAUGUUAUUUAAUUC